UACGGAGGGUGCAAGCGUUGUUCGGAAUUACUGGGCGUAAAGAGCGUGUAGGCGGCUGACCAAGUCCGGUGUGAAAGCCCGGGGCUUACCCCCGGAAGUGCGCUGGAAACUGGUCGACUAGAGAAUGGGAGAGGGAAGUGGAAUUCCUGGUGUAGCGGUGAAAUGCGUAGAUAUCAGGAGGAACACCGGCGGCGAAGGCGGCUUCCUGUACAAAUACUGACGCUGAGGCGCGAAAGCGUGGAUAGCAAACAGG
rnacentral:rRNA from 1 species